UCUCAAUUACAUUUAUUUCAGCUUGAUAGUUUAAAAAAGGUUGGUGGCGGAAAGCCAAGAGAACAUGUUUUUUUGAUCAUGAAAAGGUUAUUUUCAAAUCAGUUACAGUCCAAAUUAAAUCGAAAAGGAAAUGGAGAAAAGAUAAGCUUAGAAAAUCUAGUAAAUAUAUGGAGUGUUUUACGAGAUAUCGGCGACGUGGAAGAAGAUGUUGACGGCAAUGCAGAAAUAUAGUUUCUUAUGUAUAUUUUUGUGAAAUAAAA
rnacentral:lncRNA from 1 species